rnacentral:tRNA from 1 species
UCGCGGGGUGGAGAAGCAGUAUCUCGCCGGCUUCAUACGCCGGAGAUCGCCGGUGCAACUCCGGCCCCCGCUAU